GUCUGUGGCCAUACCACCCUGAACGUGCCCUAUCUUAUCUGAUCUCACAAGCGAAGCAGGGUCAGACCUGGUUAGUACUCAGAUGGGAGAUUCCUACAUCUACUGGGCUACUGAAU
rnacentral:rRNA from 1 species